ensembl:rRNA 5S_rRNA 5S ribosomal RNA
CUCUACAUACAAGGUUACUCAGAGCCCUUAAAAGAUAAACUGUUAUCUCAGAAGCUAAGCAGUGUUGGGCCUGGUUAGUACUUGGAUGGGAGACCACCUAGGAAGACCAGGUGCUGUAGGUG